rnacentral:rRNA from 1 species
GAGUUUGAUCAUGGCUCAGGAUGAACGCUGGCGGCGUGCUUAACACAUGCAAGUCGAACGAUGACUUUUGUGCUUGCACAAGAUGAUUAGUGGCGAACGGGUGAGUAACACGUGAGUAACCUGCCCUUGACUCUGGGAUAAGCCUGGGAAACUGGGUCUAAUACUGGAUAUGCACCGUGGACCGCAUGGUUCUUGGUGGAAAGAUUUAUUGGUCAGGGAUGGACUCGCGGCCUAUCAGCUUGUUGGUGAGGUAAUGGCUCACCAAGGCGACGACGGGUAGCCGGCCUGAGAGGGUGACCGGCCACACUGGGACUGAGACACGGCCCAGACUCCUACGGGAGGCAGCAGUGGGGAAUAUUGCACAAUGGGCGAAAGCCUGAUGCAGCGACGCCGCGUGAGGGAUGACGGCCUUCGGGUUGUAAACCUCUUUCAGUAGGGAAGAAGCGAAAGUGACGGUACCUGCAGAAGAAGCGCCGGCUAACUACGUGCCAGCAGCCGCGGUAAUACGUAGGGCGCAAGCGUUAUCCGGAAUUAUUGGGCGUAAAGAGCUCGUAGGCGGUUGUCGCGUCUAUCGUGAAAGUCCGAGGCUUCAACCUCGGAUCUGCGGUGGGUACGGGCAGACUAGAGUGAUGUAGGGGAGACUGGGAUUCCUGGGUGU